ACCCUACAAGCGGCUAAAUUUUUGGAAGUGCAUCAGACCUAACCUAAUGUACCCUAACCCCCACACCUUGUAACUUCAGAUAAAAACUCUUUACUUCCCAAUUCCCUACAGGCAGCUUUGAAACUUUGGUAACCCUUCACUUCCUAAUUCCCUACAGGCAACUAGGAAAUUUUUGGGAGUGCAUUAGUCCUAACCUAACAUAACAUAAUCUUGUAAGUCCAGAUAAUAACCCUUACAGGCAGCUAAGAAACUUUGAAAGAGCAUUGCAGUCCUAACCUAACCUAAUGUAACCUAAACUUUACCUUGUAAGACAUAAACCUUCACUUCCCAAUUUCCUACAAGUGACUAGGAAACUUUGGGAGAGCAUCGCAGCCGUGACGCAGCACACCAGUACAAGGCAGACACAAACAGAAUAACAGUGAGGAGUCUGGGAUCAGGUAAUCACAUCUCAUACAAGGGAGACCAGCACAGAGAAAAUAAAGUUGAGUUGAGGGAGGGGUGGUUCAAAUCAAGGAAAUUAAUUGCCUUAAGGGUUCCUGUGACGUGAAUGAAGAGAAUAAGGCUGAUAUCAGUGGGUUAUUGAUGCAAAUGACCUGACCUGACCUGACCUAACCAAGACAAUAAGGCUGAUAUUAGUGUGUAAAUGAUGUACAUGAACAACCUAAGCUAUUCUAACCUAAUUGUAGACUAACCUAUCACCAGUUACAAUGCACCUGAACAGCCUUUCGUUCACCACACACACAAACACAAUGGUACUGGUCCCCACAUUCAAGAUUUCACACAAAUGCCUUCCUCUAUGCAGCAACAUGCCAUCCAAUCGCAACUCUAAACUCACACUGUCAGACUUAAUGCGUAAUAUAUCCCUGUGUGUAUGUAUUAACCUUUUGUCUUUGCUUUAGGAACUGAUACCUCUAUUUUUCUAUUUGUUGUUGGCCAGUACUUCUCUUUCAUUAACACAAUGUAUACUAAGCAAGCCUCACUGAGAGGUUUACAUGUGUAGGGUGCCAUAGUUAAGUGAAUAACAGUCAUUACAUCCAGUCUGUCUUUUCCGUUUCUCCAGAAAGAGGGGAUGAUACCAUGUGUGAGUGAGCCUCCUCCAGCUGUUUCUGUCUCUCGAUUCUUCCUCUGAGCCUCCUAUGCUUUUCAGCUCCACUGUAAUCCCAUCCCUCUAUCUCACUCUGUCUUCCUUUCAAUCUCCUUUUCUGUACCCAUUUUCUUCAAGCUCUUUUAAUCUGUCCCUGGUCUUCUCUUCUUACUACAUGACUAAUUUAUCUCAUUUAUCUUAUCACUUACACAAAGUCCUCCACUCUUAUUCUCUUUCAUAACUUCCUGUCAUAUUCAAUAAAGCAUUGAAAGAAAACAAAACUGCAUCUUGCCCCCCACAACUCAGUCGCUAAAGCUGAUUCAUAUCAUUCAUGUGUUUUGUGGACAUGUGAUUCAGGACUUUCAAUGAUAGAAUGGUCCUGUCAAGCCCCGAUGAAGCCAAUACAGUAUAACCCGUCAAUCUCAUGUCUUACAUCACUGCUCACUUUAUUACUGUAUUGGCCAUUAUCUCCGAGCCCAAACAUGCCUGAUGGGAUAAUUCUGAUAAAACUCGUCAAAAGUAAAUAGAGUAGUACAAUGGACCCAAAAACUGUUUAAUGGCCUGACGAUUGUCAUGGCCCCAACAUCUGAGGUGCCGUCCUGCUCUCCUGGUCAGGGGUUCAAUCCCCAUCUCCAGCCUCUCAUGGCUAAAGAUUUAUCUUGCCUUCAGGUCAAUUUCUCAAGUGUUUCUAUGCAGUGGCCACCAAGGGAGUUUUGGAAGGCCAUUUCAUAGUUUUUGAAAUGUCAUGAUACUUUCUAAAUAGGAGACAAUGUAAUCGAUACUGUGAGGUGACAACUGUAAAGUGGUAAGUACUCCAUUAGCAAAUCAAAUCAUAUAGAGGAGAACUACUUACCUAAAACUGGAAUCAGACUUGUGGUAUAAAUGUCUAGGAACAAAAAUUUCUGUACGAGACUUCUGGAAAGAAUGCAAGCAUACCAUAGAAUAGCACAACAAUCUGCAGGACACAAAUGUACGUACCACCACAGAUGCUGCUGCUCACUUCUGAUGAUGAUACAGUCUGAAAGCAAAGAGAAAA